AGGGCACCACCAGGAGUGGAGCCUGCGGCUUAAUUUGACUCAACACGGGAAAACUCACCCGGCCCGGACACCGUAAGGAUUGACAGACUGAGAGCUCUCUCUUAAUUCGGUGGGUGGUGGUGCAUGGCCGUUCUUAGUUGGUGGAGCGAUUUGUCUGGUUAAUUCCGAUAACGAACGAGACUCUGGCCUAUUAAAUAGUCGGUAUAUCCAGAAAAGUUUACCGUACUUCUUGGAGGGACAAACGGCGUCUAGCCGCGUGAAAUAGAGCAAUAACAGGUCUGUGAUGCCCUUAGAUGUCCGGGGCUGCACGCGCGCUACACUGAAAGAAUCAGUAUGCGCUUUAACCUAGUCCGGAAGGAUUGGGUAACCCGAGCAAAUUCUUUCGUGCUUGGGAUAGGGAAUUGCAAUUAUUUCCCUUAAACGAGGAAUUCCCAGUAAAUGCGGGUCAUAAGCUCGCGUUGAUUACGUCCCUGCCCUUUGUACACACCGCCCGUCGCUGCCCGGGACUGAGCCAUUUCG
rnacentral:rRNA from 1 species